rnacentral:rRNA from 1 species
UACGUAGGGUGCAAGCGUUAUCCGGAUUUACUGGGUGUAAAGGGCGCGUAGGCGGGAAUGCAAGUCAGAUGUGAAAUCUGUGGGCUCAACCCACAAACUGCAUUUGAAACUGUAUUUCUUGAGUGAUGGAGAGGCAAGUGGAAUUCCUAGUGUAGCGGUGAAAUGCGUAGAUAUUAGGAGGAACACCAGUGGCGAAGGCGACUUGCUGGACAUUAACUGACGCUGAGGCGCGAAAGCGUGGGGAGCAAACAGG